GUGGGGAAUCUUGCGCAAUGGGCGAAAGCCUGACGCAGCCAUGCCGCGUGCAUGAUGAAGGUCUUAGGAUUGUAAAAUUCUUUCACCGGGGACGAUAAUGACGGUACCCGGAGAAGAAGCCCCGGCUAACUUCGUGCCAGCAGCCGCGGUAAUACGAAGGGGGCUAGCGUUGCUCGGAAUUACUGGGCGUAAAGGGCGCGUAGGCGGACAGUUUAGUCAGAGGUGAAAGCCCAGGGCUCAACCUUGGAAUUGCCUCUGAUACUGGCUGUCUUGAGUACGGGAGAGGUGAGUGGAACUCCGAGUGUAGAGGUGAAAUUCGUAGAUAUUCGGAAGAACACCAGUGGCGAAGGCGACUCACUGGCCCGUUACUGACGCUGAGGCGCGAAAGCGUGGGGAGCAAACAGGAUUAGAUACCCGAGUAGUCC
rnacentral:rRNA from 1 species